AUGUGCUACUCGAACAGGGUCUCAGUACACGGAGCACCAUCAGGUAGCCGCCGCCCACAGCAGGUAGCAGCUUCCACCCUUUGAAUCAGCACGAGUUGUUUUAUGCAUUCGUGCAUAGCUGAGGCUUGACUUCAUUAUUGCCAUCCUCAAUCAUCGUUUGAAUCCAAGAUUGUGUUCCGCAUGUGCAGAGGUGUGGGCCCGCACACAAAAAUGACUUGAUGUUCCACCAUAGAGGGCACUUUGCAAUCAAAGAAUUCGAAAAAGACUCCAGCAAGGGGUCAUCAGUCAAUGUAUAGCAACGUGCGUUCUUACUCGCAUAGGAUAGGAGUAUCAUAUCCUUUAAUUUGAUCAACUUGCACCACACCAUUUUUCUUCAUCUUCCGCAUCUGGACCUAACCUACUUUCACACAUGGAAACUAUAUGUACGUGCGCUCUAUAUAUAAGUGCUUGAGUCGAGCACCCAUUUUGCACAAACUGUGAGCCAGGUCGCCAAUCCAAGUAGAAUAGAAACACAGGAAGGAGCAAGGAGACGAACAAUCGAGGAUGGUGAAGAACAACUCCUCUGCGACCUCGGUUCGGCUGAUGCUGAUCCUCCUCGUUCUGCUGGUUUUCGUUGGUGGCAUCCUUGCAAACGAUGGGCCGUCCAAAUGCAGCAACCCUGCGGCUCAGCAAAACUGCCCGUCGAUCCCUAAUGGCGGCUCAUAAGCAUGAGAUGGAUCAUUUCUGCGCAGCAGGAUUCGGUAGGAUCUUGUGUUGGCAGGCGUUGGAAGCUUCCUAGCUAUUACUAGCGGGUAGUGCGCGGCGGCACGCCGCGCCACGUGGAUCGAUAAGCAAUUUAGUUUAUUUGUAAUAUUUGGUAAGUCAUUUGAAGACUUGAUUCGUGACAAAGUAGAUUAUACAAGGAAUGGGUACAUUUAGUUGGUACCUACAUGCAUAAGUUAUCUACAACACAUAGUGAUAGUGAGUAAUGGACGCAGAGUUGUGAAGCUCUUGUUCUUUUCUUAGACUUGAGAUGUUGAUCCUCCGGUUGAGUCUGUCUCUUUGAUGUAGUGCUAGAGAAAUGAGCCUAGUUCUUCUUCUCUCAUUCUUGGUGGUUUGUUUCCUGUGUAAACAAUGUUAAAGUUGUUGCUGGAUGCACGUU